rnacentral:rRNA from 1 species
AAUGGAAGCGGCGUGAGGUUCCCUAUCCAGGGUUUGACAUCUUCUGACAACCCUGGAGAUAGGGCUUUCCCUUCGGGGACAGAGUGACAGGUGGUGCAUGGUUGUCGUCAGCUCGUGUCGUGAGAUGUUGGGUUAAGUCCCGCAACGAGCGCAACCCUUGAUCUUAGUUGCCAGCAUUCAGUUGGGCACUCUAAGGUGACUGCCGGUGACAAACCGGAGGAAGGUGGGGAUGACGUCAAAUCAUCAUGCCCCUUAUGACCUGGGCUACACACGUGCUACAAUGGACAGAACAAAGGGCUGCGAGACCGCAAGGUUUAGCCAAUCCCACAAAUCUGUUCUCAGUUCGGAUCGCAGUCUGCAACUCGACUGCGUGAAGCUGGAAUCGCUAGUAAUCGCGGAUCAGCAUGCCGCGGUGAAUACGUUCCCGGGCCUUGUACACACCGCCCGUCACACCACGAGAGUUUGCAACACCCGAAGUCGGUGAGGUAACCUUUAUGGAGCCAGCCGCCGAACGGUGGUG